rnacentral:lncRNA from 1 species
UGGUGAGCGUACCUACUGGGAGCAUGGAGCCCUGGAUAGACCCAGCUAGGGGAAUUGUCCUUCACCCAGUGGGAGUCACACCCACUCUGGGAGCCUGCAGCCUGUGGAUAACUGACGUUCUUCCUUAGGAAACCUUGGCAUAAUGAAGGCUAGUCCAGGAAGCUUGGCUAAAGGGGAUGCUUGAUGCUGUGUGUGAUUUCUGUGGCCUCGAGCCAGCUACCAUGUCUUGGUAAGUAGAGAGACUCAGACAAGCUCCUGCAACCUGAAGGUAAUGGGUGAAUUUAAAGUGUAAUUACACAUUCAAGAGAGCUUCACCAGCUCAAAUCACACUGAUCUUGCUGCUGCUUAAAUUUCCACCAGACUUCUCAUUUUAGCUAUGCAAUCUUGUAUUUGAUUAUCUAUUUUCUUUCUUGUAUAUACUCCAACCUCUUCCUAUGGGUCUUUCUGCUUCCACACUGUGCAUUGCAACCAGAACUCACUCA